AUUGAACGCUGGCGGCAGGCCUAACACAUGCAAGUCGAACGCGUGGCGGACGGGUGUGUAAUGUCUGUGAACCUGCCUUCUGGAGGGGGAUACCUACUGGAACCGGUAGCUAAUACCGCAUACCCUCAGCUGUGCCCAGGUGGGAUUAGCUUGUUGGUGGGGUAACGGCUCACCAAGGCGACGAUGCCUAGCUGGUCUGAGAGGAUGAGCAGCCACACUGGAACUGAGACACGGUCCAGACUCCUACGGGAGGCAGCAGUGGGGAAUAUUGGGCAAUGGGCGAAAGCCUGAUGCAGCAAUGCCGCGUGAGUGAAGAAGGCCUUCGGGUUGUAAAGCACUUUUGGCGGAGAAGCGUUACCCGCAGAAGAAGCACCGGCUAACUCCGUGCCAGCAGCCGCGGUAAUUC
rnacentral:rRNA from 1 species